AUGUGCCCGAUUCCAAGAGUUGUCAUUAAAAAAGGAGCUCAGAGUUCACUUCCUCAGAACUUAUUAGAAGAGGAGGAGGAACUCAUGCAUGCAAGCAGUGGCUUGUGGUGUACCUGUACUGGAAAUAUCAUGCAGAAAUAUCGGAGAAGGGGAGUUUCCUUAAAGCCUUUGCCUGGACGUUGUGUGGGUAGGAGCCCAGCAGAAACUUAA
rnacentral:lncRNA from 1 species